GGAUUAGAUACCCUGGUAGUCUACGCCGUAAACGAUGGUCACUAGCUGUCCGGCACAAUUGAGUGCUGGGUGGUUAAGCGAAAGUGAUAAGUGACCCACCUGGGGAGUACGUUCGCAAGAAUGAAACUCAAAGGAAUUGACGGGGGCCCGCACAAGCGGUGGAGCAUGUGGUUUAAUUCGAUGAUACGCGAGGAACCUUACCAGGGCUUAAAUGCAGCCGGACAGGGGUGGAAACACCCUUUUCUUCGGACUGGCUGCAAGGUGCUGCAUGGUUGUCGUCAGCUCGUGCCG
rnacentral:rRNA from 1 species